GUGGUUCUGCUGAAGAAAAUCCUGGUUUCUGAGACAACAAUAUUUAUCGACCUGUAAGGCAGGCUGGUCGUUCUUGAUGUGACAGUCAGCAGAGUAAGACUUUCAGGUUGGUUGGUGUCUAUGUCCCCUGUGGAGCUGGAAAUCUGAUUUUUUAGAAGCCUAGAGAAUUU